rnacentral:rRNA from 1 species
UACGAAGGGGACUAGCGUUGUUCGGAAUUACUGGGCGUAAAGCGCACGUAGGCGGAUUUGUUAGUCAGGGGUGAAAUCCCGGGGCUCAACCUCGGAACUGCCUUUGAUACUGCAAAUCUCGAGUCCGAUAGAGGUGGGUGGAAUUCCUAGUGUAGAGGUGAAAAUUCGUAGAUAUUAGGAAGAACACCGGUGGCGAAGGCGGCCCACUGGAUCGGUAUUGA